CACAGGUGUGACUCCCACCUGGGUCUGGAAGGAUAGUGUGUGAAUAGGCAUCAUUAGGUUGAAGUCUGGGCUGGAUUCAGAAAGGGUGAAAAUGGAUGCUUGUCCUAGCUAGGCCGGGGCCUGGAUGUGGCCAGUGUGGACUCCUUGAGCUAGCUAACUCACCAAGAGAUCUUGCAGAUACUGCAGCGCUCACCUGGACUGAGAGGAACCUCGUGGAUGGGCAAUGUGAGCCUAAGUUUUGAAGGAUGUGUGUUCAGAGUGAAUUAUAUGCACAGUCAGUGACUCAAACCUCCUGAAAGAAG
rnacentral:lncRNA from 1 species